ensembl:lncRNA
UCAAGGAUCAGCCAGAACUGAACCAGAUAACAGAAUUACUGGAUUAACCCUGAGAUGUGCUGGCAGUUUUCUGACAUCAUAAAAAAUGUUGUGUGAGCUGAAAAGACAAAGGAUUUUGUAAAGGGUUAAGAAAGGCUCUGUACAGCUCCAGGGCUCCUCCUACCACCUUCCAGGACAUGAAAUGGCUGAAAUGAGAAAACCGUCCAUAGCUGAAUAAUCCAUACCAGUGGAAAGCAGAUCUACAGACAUUGAGUAGCAAUCAAUCACUUACACAUUCCUUGCUGUAUGUUAUCAAAGAUGGCAGCAGAGGGUCAUUGUGACGGAACUGUGCCUGACAUGGAAGUGUGGCUGAAACAAAUGAGCAGGAUUGAAUUCCUCCAUGUGGAAAAAAUGGCACCCACUGACAUUCAUAGAUGCUUGCUGAACGUUGAUGGAGACCAAGCAGUGGAUGUGAGCACAGUGAAGUGGUGAGUACAAUGAAGACACAGGAUGGACCAUGCACAAGGAAGGGAAUCCUCUAUUCUCACACAAGAAUGACAUUUCAGCCUUCAAGCUCUUUUAUACCGUUCCUUGUUUUUUCAAACCUACUCAUCUGUAUCUUCAUUUUAUUUCAUCGUUACUCUGCCAGGAUGUCCAUACCUAUAUCUUUCAUCCAUGACAACAGUAGCGUUUGGGACUUCCAAGCACUCAACUCAAGAACUUGCAGUGAGAUGCUACACGUCUUGGGAACUUGAGAAAGUUGAUACCUCUCCUAUACUGGCAGGUUAUUGUGGUUGUAUAAAUAUGAAAUACUAUGAGUUGAGACAGUGGAUGAAUUAGCCUGAAGAGGAUUUUGGAAGUCAGAGUAGCUGGCUAUCUCAAGGACAUCCAUUUCCUGAAGGGUGAGUGCCAGUUUCCUCACUUGGUUGCUGAAGAGCUUGUUUGUAUCUCUAUGGAUUCUAUUCACAUUAUGCAGUUGGACCAGCAGCAAUAGCUGUAGCAACAAUAUGUCUAUCAAGAAUUGAGGAAUCAGCAGAAAAAGAAACAGCAAAGCUGACCUAGAACAUGGCCAGUUUCCAUUUUCCCAGAAGACUACAUUGCACAGAGGUUUUAUUUCCAGUCUGAAAACCUACAAACACUUGCUUCCACAAAGAUACUGCGGAGUCGUACAAAGUCCUCUUUUGAGUUUCCUGUGGACCUUUCUUCAGUUAAAAUCAAAACUAGUCAAGUUGACUGGAGACCAGGAACCCAGGUACUGUCCUUCCUACUGCACAGAAUGGUUUAAUAGUGCAUUAAUCCCAGGAUAUGGGUGCAUGUCUAACGCUUGAAAUUGUUAGUGUGUUAGCAUUAACAUUUUAGUUACUGAUGAAUACUUAUGAUCUAUAAAUAUUUACUAAACUCGGUUCACAUGCUUUCAGUAUUUUCUCUUUGGGCCACAGCUUGUUCAAAGAGAUCUAGUGAACAAGAGUUUUCCAGGUGUGAAUGUUACUCUUUGUUCACAAAUUGUAGCAUUUUAAGUACCACAUGUCAUAUACCAAUAGGAUCAUGUUAUCACACUCUUCUAGAUCAUUAGUGAUAGAAAAAUUACGUCAAGAGUUUUGGGGGACAGUUUAAAAUACUUUCAAAGGAAAAGAACCCUAUCUAAUGAAGCCUAUCAGAUUCCUUAAUAUCAGUCGCUCUUGGAUGUAAAAUAGAACAAUUUAUCAGCUUCCUAACAGAGCAAAUCCCAAAGUGUGAUCCUAUCUCUGCACUUUCCAAUGAAUGACAGUUCAAAAGACCUUUGUCUAUUUUAAUGUGUUACACAAAAUUAGAUAUUUAAAAAGGAAACAAAAAGAACACAACAAAAAACAAAAAAGCAAUGGAAUAUUUUUUUAAGCUCCAACAUCUGAACAAUAGACAAAUGUAAGUUAUUAUGAAGCAUGAUGAAACUGUGCUCAGAAAAAUGAAAGGUCUGUUGCACACUGAUGAAUUUUGCUUUCUUAUCUGAUCACGUAAUACUUCAUUAGACUAAGGGGAUCUUAGCUUAAAUAAGUUCAUUGGAAACAGAAAUGAUUUUUUUCAUAUGAAAUAUUAUUAUUCUCUAGAAAUAACAUCUAUUACUUUGCCUAAUUUCAUAAAUUCUAGAAGUGUUUUGAUGACUGCAUGAAUUUAUGUAGCAUAGACAUCUGUACUGGAAUAAGUGGGUAAUAUGAAGGGAUGUCAGGAAAACAUGAGCCACGUGUUAUAGAUUAUUUCAUACCUUAUGAGUUAUUUAACUGCUAUCUUAUACAAUCAGACAUGGAUUCUUAUUUGAAACAGCAAUAUUUUAGUUAUCUAACACAAAAAUAUGUGUUUAUUGACAUUGCUAUAUGUUUGCCUAACCCAAACGUGUUUCCAUAUGCCACAGCUUUAUAGGUAGUCUUCACUGUCUUGUCUAUAUGGUCUUUUUCUUUUUUUCUGAAUACAUCAUCAACAUUCAGAGAAUCACAGAAUGAGUGAGGGACUACAUGGGAUCACCCAGUCCAUCCCCCUGCUUCAAGCAGGGUCACCUAGGGCACGUUAUCCUGGAUAACAUCCAGGUAUGUUUUGGAUAUCCCCACAACAUUUUUGGGCAACCUGUUCCAGUGCUUGGUCACACUAAAAGUGAAGUUUUUUUCUCAUGCGUAGUUGGAACUUCUUGUGUUUCAUUUUGUCCUCUUUUCCCGUUGCCAGGCACCACAGCCUGGCCCCAUCCUCUUGAUACCCUCCCUUAAGGUACUUGUACACAUUCACUAUCUUUAGUAAUUCAUAUAUACUUUUCUUUGUACAUACAUGUACAAGUUGAAGGGUGGGCACAAAAUUACUAGCUUUUUACAUGUGAAUUCCAUAUUCAGAGGCUCUUUUAUCCUGUUCCUAAAAUAUUCUACAAUAAUGUCAAAAUUUCUAAAUUUGCUGUGCACUCUAUCAUUAUCCAUUGAAAAACUAAGUAGUACUUCAGAACUUCAUUUCUAGUGAGAUCUCAGCUACAGGCAUGUAUAAACAGUAUUAAAGGGUAUCAAUCAUGUUUAGCAUCAUAGAAAUUUCUGCUCACUUUCUUUUCAAUUAACUGGUUCAUGAAAUAGUAUCAAAUUUUGAAAUCAGAAAGCUGUUUAGAUCAAAUGCUCCUAUUUUUUCAUUUGUAUGCCAAAAAAAAAAAAAAAAAAA